GCUGGGCGUGGUGGCGCGUGCCUGUAGUCCCAGCUAUUCGGGAGGCUGAGGCUGGAGGAGCUCUUGAGCCCAGGACUUCUGGGCUGUAGUGCGCUAUGCCGAGCGGGUGUCCGCACUAAGUUCGGCAUCAAUCUAGUGACCUCCCGGGAGUGGGGGAUCACCAGGUUGCCUAAGGAGGGGUGAACCGGCCCAGGUUGGAAACAGCAGGUCAAAACUCCCGUGCUGAUCAGUAGUGGGAUCGCGCCUGUGAAUAGCCACGGCACUCCAGCCUGGGAAACAUAGCAAGACUCUGUCUCU
rnacentral:SRP_RNA from 1 species